rnacentral:rRNA from 1 species
GUGGGGAAUCUUAGACAAUGGGCGCAAGCCUGAUCUAGCCAUGCCGCGUGAGCGAUGAAGGCCUUAGGGUUGUAAAGCUCUUUCGUGGGGGAAGAUAAUGACUGUACCCCAAGAAGAAGCCCCGGCUAACUCCGUGCCAGCAGCCGCGGUAAUACGGAUGGGGCUAGCGUUGUUCGGAAUUACUGGGCGUAAAGCGCACGUAGGCGGACUGGAAAGUCAGGGGUGAAAUCCCGGGGCUCAACCCCGGAACUGCCUUUGAAACUCCCAGUCUUGAGUUCGAGAGAGGUGAGUGGAAUUCCGAGUGUAGAGGUGAAAUUCGUAGAUAUUCGGAGGAACACCAGUGGCGAAGGCGGCUCACUGGCUCGAUACUGACGCUGAGGUGCGAAAGCGUGGGGAGCAAACAGUAUUAGAUACCCUGGUAGUCC